rnacentral:rRNA from 1 species
AUUGAACGCUGGCGGCGUGCCUAACACAUGCAAGUCGAGCGGUAACAGGUGUAGCAAUACAUGCUGACGAGCGGCGAACGGGUGAGUAAUGCUUCGGAAUCUACCCAAUGGUGGGAUAACCGAGCCGAAAGGUUGGCUAAUACCGCAUACGUCCCACGGGAGAAAGCAGGGGAUCGCAAGACCUUGCGCCAAUGGAUGAGCCGAAGUCGGAUUAGC